GCUUACGGCCAUAUCAGCCUGGGUACUCCCGAUCUCGUCUGAUCUCGGAAGCUAAGCAGGGUCGGGCCUGGUUAGUACUUGGAUGGUAGACCGCCUGGGAAUACCAGGUGCUGUAAGCA
rnacentral:rRNA from 1 species